rnacentral:pre_miRNA from 1 species
UAGCCAAUGUCACUACUGUCAUGUAAAUGAAAAGCUCAUGACAGUGGUACAUUGUCUACU